GUCAGCAUGGUGCAGUGGUUUGAGCACUGGACUUGGACUCUGGAGACCAGAGUUUGAAUCCUGGUUUGGCCA